GGGAAGGGGGUGCCUGGGUGGCUCAGUCGUUUGAGCAUCUGACUUCUGCUCAGGUCGUGAUCUCUCAGUUCAUGAGUCAUGAGUUCAAGCCCUGCACUGGGCUCUGUGCUGACAGCUCGGAGCCUGGAGCCUGCUUUGGACUCUGUGUCUCCCUCUCUCUCUGCUCUUCCCUUGCUCAUGCUCUGUCUCUCUUCUUCAAAAAUAAAUAAAAACAUUAAAAAAAUUUUUAAAAAAGGAGAGGAGAAAUAAAACCGUUUAAUCACUAUAAAUAUUUGGAGAUUGAGUAGCCAGUGAGAACUCCUCCUGAUAGUGCUUCCUUUUUUUUUUUUUUUUUUUUUUUUUUUUUUUUCCCAUCCAAACUCCUCAUAAUGCGGAUUUCAGUUUCUUUAUAGUGUAAGACUUUGGGAGACAUAGAUGUGAAUGAGUAAGGUGCCCAUAGGGAUCCAUAAAGGUUAUCAGUUUUUCUUCCAUUUGUAUUUCUCCUUUCAUCUAUCCACUCAUAGUCCUCACCCCAUUUCAGUUUCUCCCUUCAUGGAACAAAAUGUCCUGGCCCCAAGGACUCAUCUCUUUCUCUUCUUGAAGGACUGCAGUCAGUGCACUUUCUCCUGCCAGCUGCCACCUCACGCUGAGAAAUCAUGCAGAUAACUACCCUUCUCCAAGUCAUCACAAGCCCAGAGACAGUCUUUCUGCAUUGCACCAAAUGCUGCUGUGAAGAAAAAGAAGAUCAAUGAGAAUCUUCCCGUAUUUCAGCCUGUGAAGGUUUCAGAUGGGCCAGAUGGCUGCUUCCCAUGGACUGCCCCUGUUCUGCCCUGGCUCUGCUGGGUGUCACUGUCUCUCAUCAGCUACUCUGCACUGCCACUCCUCCUGGCUGCUCUGUCACUGGUUUUCUUGGGCCUUCACUGCCGUUGCUCUCGGGAAGUGCUAGGACUCUGCUGGUACGAAGGCUUUUUGGGAAGCACACUUGCUCCAGUUACAGGACUGUAUCUUUUAAGAAAGAGAGAAGAUGCUUCACUUGCAUUUGAUAUUGAUAACUUUCCAGAUUUUUCAAACUGUUAUCAUAUGGAUCUUGAGAAAUGUAAUCUGCCCUGUAAAUCACCACAAAGGCCUUCAGAAUUAACAAAUCUGAGGACCAAAUCUAUACUGAAAAGAGGUGGGC
rnacentral:lncRNA from 1 species